CACGUAGGGCGCAAGCGUUGUCCGGAAUUAUUGGGCGUAAAGAGCUCGUAGGCGGUCUGUUGCGUCCGCUGUGAAAACCCGGGGCUUAGCCCCUGGCUUGCAGUGGAUACGGACAGACUAGAGGUAGGUAGGGGAGAAUGGAAUUCCCGGUGUAGCGGUGAAAUGCGCAGAUAUCGGGAGGAACACCGGUGGCGAAAGCGGUUCUCUGGGCCUUACCUGACGCUGAGGAGCGAAAGCGUGGGGAGCGAACAGG
rnacentral:rRNA from 1 species